GAAAUGCGAUAAGUAAUGUGAAUUGCAGAAUUCAGUGAAUCAUCGAAUCUUUGAACGCACCUUGCGCUCCUUGGUAUUCCUUGGAGCAUGCCUGUUUGAGUAUCAUGAAAUCUUCAAAGUAAAUCUUUUGUUAACUCAAUUGGUUUCUACUUUGGUAUUGGAGGUCUUUGCAGCUUCACACCUGCUCCUCUUUGUUCAUUAGCUGGAUCUCAGUGUUAUGCUUGGUUCCACUCGGCGUGAUAAGUUAUCUAUCGCUGAGGACACUGUAAAAGGUGGCCAAGGUAAAUGCAGAUGAACCGCUUCUGAUAGUCCAUUGACUUGGACAAUAAUUUUAUGAUCUGAUCUCAAAUCAGGUAGGACUACCCGCUGAACUUAAGC
rnacentral:misc_RNA from 1 species